rnacentral:rRNA from 1 species
GACGAACGCUGGCGGUGUGCUUAACACAUGCAAGUCGAACGGAAGGGCCCUGCUUGCAGGGUACUCGAGUGGCGAACGGGUGAGUAACACGUGGGUGAUCUGCCCUGCACUUCGGUAUAAGCCUGGGAAACUGGGGUUAAUACCGGAUAGGAGCCAUUUUUAGUGUGAUGGUUGGAAAGUUUUUUCGGGGUAGGAUGAGCUCGCGGCCGUUCAGCUUGUUGGUGGGGUAAUGGGCUACCAAGGCGGCGACGGGUAGCCGGCCUGAGAGGGUGGACGGCCACAUUGGGACUGAGAUACGGCCUAGACUCCUACGGGAGGCAGCGGUGGGGAAUAUUGCACAAUGGGCGCAAGCCUGAUGCAGCGACGCCGCGUGGGGGAUGACGGCCUUCGGGUUGUAAACUCCUUUCGCUAGGGACGAAGCUUUUGUGACGGUACCUAGAUAAGAAGCACCGGCUAACUACGUGCCAGCCGCCGCAGUAA